AAUCUAAGAAGAAAUUCAUGUUUUAAGAUGAUUCCAUGCAUAGUGCGGGCUUGACUGGUGUUUAGUAUGAAGGUGCUUUUGGUGCAGCACGGUUCACUGCCAAAGGUCAUAUUUUUAAUUUUAAUGUCAUCUUUUUAGUAUAUACUUGCCUAUUUCCGUGAAAUAUACUAAAACAACACCACAAAAUAUCUUAUAACUUUUAAAUUCAUAAGUGAUUAAUAGUAGAGUACAGCGACGUAGUAUUAAAAUUCUUUUAUUACUGAAUUAAAACAUUUAAAAUUUAGUAAAUGGGACCAAGUUUAAAGAUAUGCAAAAAAUCCAUCAAAAAUCAUUUUAAACCCUUAGAAAAUGUGAUUCUUGCAAUAAAAGUAAGUUAGAAGUAAGUAUUUGCAAAGUUAUGUGAAAAAGAAAAAAAUCACGACUCCGGUUGCCGCAAUUGUUAGGCUAUGCCGGUUAUAGGCAGCAACAGUCCUACCACCACCGUUAUGGUAGCGUUACAUUGACCGUAACCUUUAUUUAGAACCUUUGAUGCACUUGCUAAUUAGACGAGCUGUGUAAUUAUUGUGUUUUAUGUGGUGAGCUUAAUUAAUAUUUCUUUUUAUGCAGACACAAUGUUCCUCCAGUCAUAGUUAUCAGAACCGGAUUGGACAUUGAACCGGUUAAAGUAUUCAACGCUUCACUGGUUCAACCAUGGUUUUAUCCGAUUUAACCGGUUUUAUAAUUAAUAAAUAAUAAAAAUAUAUUUAAUUAAAAAAAUUAUUUUUUAAUGAAUCAAUAUGUUCAAUUUCAUACCUUAAAAUUAAGGUAAUGCAUGAAUCAACUUUACAAGUGAUACUAAAAUAUAAGAAAUUUCUAUAAAUACAACAACUCUGCUGUCUUAGGGUCCAAAAGUCUUUGGGGAUUGAUUCUUUGGUCACCUAAUUUGAUUUGAUGCACAUUGGAGGCUUGGGACCAAUUCGUCCCCGGUAUUUGUUGGAUCAAUUCUUGCAUUAUGGAGCCACCCAAAAUAAUGUUUCUUGAGCCUAACCAUAAUCUAAGGCUCUAUUUGGGUUAACCUUUUUCUUAUCGAUUUUUAGUUUUUUAUAGGCUUUUUUGUUAAAGAAUUACAUACAAAUAGAAAUUGAAUAAAUAUAUCUUCUAACAGAAUGACGAGGUUGUUUAUGAUCCAUUUAUAUCAAAAUAAAAUUUGCACCUUAUGGUAACUUUAAUUUUAAGAUGGCUACUUUUACAUUAAUUUGGUGCUAAUUUUUAUAGGUGGAACAAUAUUUUUCUUUCGUUUAUUACUUUAUUUACUUUUUUAAAGCUAGAUUAAUGCCACAAUCUAAUUAAUAGAAAAUUAUCCAAACAGGACCUACAAGAUAAGAAGUAGUCAAUUGGUUUUAAAGCUCUUGUAAAAAAUUAUUUGGUUUUUUGGAAACUGAUUUUUGCAUUCAACUUUUAUACUAUAAGGGUGCAGCAAAGUUCAUUUUAAGUGUGUUGAACCGGGCAUUUUUUUACUAGAAAACUGGACGGUUCAGUAAAAAACCUCCAAUAAACCGGUUCAUUUUAAGUGAACCGGUUCCCGGUUGAACCGUACUGUCCGGCCCAGUUCUGAUAAUUAUGCCUCCAAUGCUAGAAAUGAAUUCCAAAUCUUUGUCAUCAGCUAGUCUGUUUGGUUUCUAUACACGAGAAAUGAUUUGUUAAACCUCUUUCUGAUGAUAUCAUUAUUGACAUCCUUAGUAGACUUUCGGUAGUAUAUGUUCUGGAAUGUCGUAAGGUGUGUAGGUUGUGGUUGGCAUUAACUUCAACGCCUCAUUUUAUUGAAAUGCAUCAUAAAAGAGCCACCCCAGAACUCGUAUGAUCAAAAUUUGGUAAAAGACGAGUUGGACUUGUUUAUUUUUUAUGAAGGAGCUAAAAAAGGUAAAAUGAUCAAUAAAAUGCGUGCAGGGUCUACUAUGUACUUUCUAAAGGGACAUCAUCCUGUGCUUCUUGGGUCUUGCAACGGGUUGCUUCUCUUUAUAUCGAGUUCUCAAAAUAGAAUCUAUGGUAUUUGCAACCCUGUCACAAGGCAAUUCGUACAUCUAAUUGUCCUUGAACCCUCUUCGGGUGUUUUAUGUGGGUUCUUCUUCCAUUCACCGACUAAGGAAUUCAGGGUGCUGUAUGUGGACUGGGAAAGCAUUGGUUUUGAAUAUUUCAUACACUUUGGGGGACAAGUCUUGGAGAAGACUUGCUAAUGUCUUCCCUUACGAGCCAGCUCAAUUCGCGAGAUCAGUUAUGGUGAAUGGAGUUCUAUAUUGGAUGGUUGAUUUUAGAUGCGGUUAUAAUGGGGUCAUUCCUCGCAGUAACUGUGUCAUGAUGUUUAACGUGGACACUGAAGAUUUCCGUUCCAUGCCUCAUCCGGGAAUGGAAUGUUGUGUACAUUGACGUCGUCAUGCAAAAAUGCAACUGAUGGAGAUGGAAGGGCAGUUAUCUUUUUAUCGUGUUGAUGGUAAAUUAAUGCUUGGUAUAUAUGGGUAUUGAAGAAAUAUGAAAAUCGAUUUUGGGUAAAAAAAUAUGAGCUCAACCUUAAUUGGGAUGUGAGACGUUACCCCUUCCUGCGGUACGAGUUUGAU
rnacentral:lncRNA from 1 species